CCUCGGGGUCCCCCCCAGCACCGGGGCCGAGCGCUCCGAGCCGCGGGCGGCGGCCGUCACCUGGGCGCCCGGGGUCACGGCCCUCGCCGGAGGACACGUGGCCGCACGGUUCACCCCUCCGAGGGUUCACCCCGGCGCCCCUCGGAACCUCCCGCCCUUCGCUCGCUCACGUAGUCCGGGGUUUCGGGGACGUGAAGUGCUGGCGAGUGGGCCGCCCGGCGCGGCGGGGCUGGGUGAUAAACAAUCUCACAGGAUACACGACACCCUGGACUGUCACAAGUCCCUCGCAGGAAAAGAUAAAUAACAUCUGAGGAGCCGCGGCUCAGCUUCAGAAACUUUGCGAGAAGUACCUGGGAGACCUGAGAACUGGAGGAAAAGCAAUCCAGGGAAGAAUGUGGCACCCAACCUGCUGAGGGCCUCGGCCACAUCAGAGGGCCUGUCUGGGUGCUGAGUCCCAGGAAUUUCUGGCGCCGGCCGCCGUGGCUCCCGCAGGCAGCGACUGAAACAAUCACGGCCCCGAGCAGCCCGAGAGGCAAGCUCGGGAGGAGAGACCCUUCCACCAGGGCAGAGCUGCCGGGCGCACCACGAUCCAGCGCUCCUGGACUGCGGGAGGCGCCCGAUGCGGAAUCCAGGGCACCUCCAGGCCGCACCCACUUGCCCGGGAAAAGGAGGAAAGGGUUUGUGGACUGACACUCCCCCGGGGACUGGCGGUGCACUCAGGGACACGUGGUAUCCAGCACUUUCAGUUAAGUAAACACUGUCCUGUCAUAGGACUUGGCGGCGGGGGAGGCUGUUCCACACUCAGAUCCGCUGGCCAGGCAAUCUGGAGGCCCCAGACUCCGCCGCCCAGCAACCCCGCAGAACCCGAGAUCCGGAGGAGGGUUCAUAGAAGAAUGAAGGGCGAGACAUGUAAAUAAACAGAUAUAAUACCACAGCAGCUCUGGAAAACCCUCAGCGAUCACCAUUCUCGGGAUCACUUGGCAACCGGAUGGAGGGAAGGAAACAUGGCCUUGGGGCAGACAUGCCGGAUUAAGACCCACUUCUGAGGUUCAGGAGCUGUGCCUCAGGGUCCUAAUCUGUAAGCCUGACUGUGUGUGUGUGUGCGUGUGUGUGUGUGUGUGUCCUCAGAAUUAAUGUGCGAAAGGCAAAGUGCCGGGUACAUAUUAAGUGUUCAACAAAUGGCUGUUGUAUGGUGGUGAUUAUUAUUAAGAGCCAAGCAAGUGAGUUGCUCCCUGCCUCUUUUCAUUCUGCACCAGGUGCUAGACAAAUCCUUUGUGAUCUCCCUUCCCUGAUCCUCCCUUCCCCUCCCCUGCUCUUCUUUCCCCUCCCUUCCCCUUCAGUGCUUCAGGCAGUGGUGGGCUCCUGGUGGCAUCUCUCCCUGUCCCAUUCUGCUGGAUAACACGCCUGCACCCUGCAGAGCUGGCUUCUCCACCCCAGCUGAACUCCCUACCACAUCAUGCAUACGCUGCUCAUGCCACGUGAUGCAUUCUGCCUGGCAUCGUGGUGCCCCAGCACCUGCCAUUGACUCCGGCCAUACUGGACCAGGUGCCCUGAGUGUAGAGACCAGACAUUUUGACUGGUUCCCACUCAGCACCUAGAGAUUGCCUCACGUCCACAAGGCUCUUUAUGUAUGGAGUAUAACAACAACAACAAAAAAAUACAGUCAACACAUAUUGACUAUGUUAACAAAUGAAUCUAAGUACUUUUACCCUACAUGGUUGCAAGAGAUGGGUAAAUACAGUUUAUCUAAGCCAAUUUCCCAUGGACAGUAUCCCCAGAUAGCAUGUAGUUAGCACUUAAGCGCCUAUGCCACUCUUCCAAGCAGGCCACCAAAACCAUAUAUUGUGAUCUUCAGUUUUCUGGAAUUUACAAUAUAGAACAGGACCUGAUACCACUUUCCAGGGCAAUUACAAUUCAAAUCCCAAUACUACAAGCUCUAAGAGAUCAUAAAAGACAUCCUAACAAAGAUGACUCCCGAUAAGAGAGGCUGGCUGGGUAGGGUCUAGAGAUCUCUUGGUUUGUUGACUAGAUAUUGUUAUAAUACAAUUUCACUUGUGGCAUUAUCAGCAAACUUUAUAAAUACAAGGAUGUUGUUGGCAGGGAAGGCAGAUGGAAUUGUUGGAAAUGCCACAGGGUGGAAAACACACUUGAAAUUAAGAAAAAAUGUACCAAGGAAAGGAGGAAAGGAUAGUCAAAAUUGGGAACUGGAUGAGGUUUUGGUGGAGUGGUACUCUGUCCUGUGCCUGAGUUCCUUCUUCCUCCUGGCGUCUUCCUUGACCCUGGCCUUGACAGAACCUAAAGAUGACAGGGUGAUGUGGGACAUCUAGGACAUGGAGCAGGCUGGUUGGGGAAAUAUUUGCUAACUGCCCCCUUGUGAGAUUACUCCUAUUCUAAAGGACUUGGAAAAGGUAGGAGCUGCUGCUGAUCCAAAGAAGAAUUAGCACCAGAAAAGGGUUUUCCUUUUCUGCCAAUUUCUACUAAUCUCAAUCUCCACUAAUUGAGAUUCCUCCAAACCUCAACUAAUGAUCAGCACAUAGUAGUUUCUCAGUAAAAUACUUUUGAACUCAUCAAAGUCAUGUAUGAUCGCUGGUGGCUUUGGUUCCAGUUCUUGCCACAUUAAAUUGUGUUUUGUAUGAUGGAGAGUAAGAUUAGUUUUACUUUUGAGAUUGUUACAUGACAUGACGCAUGAAGAUCAGCUCUGCAAGAUCUGAUCAUAGUUUUAUGAUGGAGGGGUUCCAACAGACUGUUGUAUGUCUCUUCCAGCCAUCCUGCGACAUGUCUGCUAAAAGAAAAACAGGAGCAGCCAACACUGCUCAUUUUAUCUUAAAAAACAAACAAACAAAAGGCCUUCAUGCCCCAGGGCACAAGUGAUCAAAUACUGGUGAACCACCAGCACACAGAUGGAAACAUAUUUAUGCCUAAUAAACAAGCGAUGAUGAACCGGGUUCUAUAGGAAAUAGUGAGUAAGAGGUAGGAAUGGAACACAGACAAUGAAAGAGUAUCUGCUUUUUAAAUAACUCUUGUGGUUUAGGAAAGGUAGAGUAAUUACAAAGUUUGGCUUUCUGAAGCACUGUUAAAGCUUUGUAGCACACACAUGGAAGUCCUCUAAUAAGCCUGCAAUAGUUGGAUGUACUAGUAUGUAACAGGGGUGUGGGUGGGGACACUUAUGCAGAAAUAUUUGGCAUAUUAAACUUCUGCCUCUGUCAAAACACAAAUUCUGAUUAAAAUGCUCAGGUCGAGUAUUUUGGUCACACUA